AUUGUACGCUGGCGGCAUGCCUUACACAUGCAAGUCGAACGGUAACAGGUCUUCGGAUGCUGACGAGUGGCGAACGGGUGAGUAAUACAUCGGAACGUGCCCGACCGUGGGGGAUAACGAAGCGAAAGCUUUGCUAAUACCGCAUAAGAGCUAAGGAUGAAAGCAGGGGACCGCAAGGCCUUGCGCGAACGGAGCGGCCGAUGGCAGAUGAGGUAGUUGGUGGGAUAAAAGCUUACCAACCCGACGAGCGGUAGCUGGUCUGAGAGGACGACCAGCCACACUGGGACUGAGACACGGCCAAGACUCCUACGGGAGGCAGCAGUGGGGAAUUUUGGAAAAUGGGCGCAAGCCUGAUCCAGCCAUGCCGCGUGCAGGAUGAAGGCCUUCGGGUUGUAAACUGCUUUUGUACGGAACGAAAAGAUUCUGGUUAAUACCUGGGGUCCAUGACGGUACCGUAAGAAUAAGCACCGGCUAACUACGUGCCAGCCGCCGCCGUAAAAC
rnacentral:rRNA from 1 species